AUUGAACGCUGGCGGCAGGCCUAACACAUGCAAGUCGAACGGUAGCACAGAGAGCUUGCUCUCGGGUGACGAGUGGCGGACGGGUGAGUAACGUCUGGGAAACUGCCCGAUGGAGGGGGAUAACUACUGGAAACGGUAGCUAAUACCGCAUAACGUCGCAAGACCAAAGUGGGGGACCUUCGGGCCUCACACCAUCGGAUGUGCCCAGAUGGGAUUAGCUAGUAGGUGGGGUAAUGGCUCACCUAGGCGACGAUCCCUAGCUGGUCUGAGAGGAUGAGCAGCCAAACUGGAACUGAGACACGGUCCAGACUCCUACGGGAGGCAGCAGUGGGGAAUAUUGCACAAUGGGCGCAAGCCUGAUGCAGCCAUGCCGCGUGUAUGAAGAAGGCCUUCGGGUUGUAAAGUACUUUCAGCGGGGAGGAAGGCGGUGAAGUUAAUAGCUUCACCGAUUGACGUUACCCGCAGAGGAAGCACCGGCUAACUCCGUGCCAGCCGCCGCAGUAA
rnacentral:rRNA from 1 species